AGAACGAACGCUGGCGGCAGGCUUAACACAUGCAAGUCGAACGCGUGUAGCAAUACACGAGUGGCGCACGGGUGAGUAACGCGUGGAUAUCUGCCUUUUGGUUCGGAAUAACCCCGGGAAACUGGGGCUAAUACCGGAUGGUUCCUUCGGGAUAAAGAUUUAUCGCCAAAAGAUGAGUCCGCGUACGAUUAGCUAGUUGGUGAGGUAAUGGCUCACCAAGGCGACGAUCGUUAGCUGGUCUGAGAGGACGAUCAGCCACACUGGGACUGAGACACGGCCCAGACUCCUACGGGAGGCAGCAGUGGGGAAUAUUGGACAAUGGGGGCAACCCUGAUCCAGCCAUGCCGCGUGAGUGAUGAAGGCCUUCGGGUUGUAAAGCUCUUUUGGCGGGACGAUGAUGACGGUACCGCAGAAUAACGCCCCGGCUAACUUCGUGCCAGCAGCCGC
rnacentral:rRNA from 1 species